UACGGAGGGGGCUAGCGUUGUUCGGAAUUACUGGGCGUAAAGCGCGCGUAGGCGGCUUAGCAAGUUAGAGGUGAAAGCCCGAAGCUCAACUUCGGAAUUGCCUUUAAAACUGCAAAGCUAGAAUCAUGGAGAGGUGAGUGGAAUUCCGAGUGUAGAGGUGAAAUUCGUAGAUAUUCGGAAGAACACCAGUGGCGAAGGCGACUCACUGGACAUGUAUUGACGCUGAGGUGCGAAAGCGUGGGGAGCAAACAGGG
rnacentral:rRNA from 1 species